GAUGAACGCUAGCUACAGGCUUAACACAUGCAAGUCGAGGGGUAACGAGAGGGAAGCUUGCUUUCCUUGUCGACGACCGGCGCACGGGUGAGUAACGCGUAUCCAACCUGCCCCCAACUAGGGAAUAACCUUGCGAAAGUAAGACUAAUACCCUAUAAUUUCCUCAGGUGUCAUCUGACGAGGAAUAAAGAUUUAUCGGUUGUGGAUGGGGAUGCGUCUGAUUAGCUUGUUGGCGGGGUAACGGCCCACCAAGGCAACGAUCAGUCGGGGUUAAGAAGAGAAGGUCCCCCACAGUGGAACUGAGACACGGCCCAAACUCCUACGGGAGGCAGCAGUGAGGAAUAUUGGUCAAUGGGCGGAAGCCUGAACCAGCCAAGUAGCGUGCAGGAUGACGGCCCUAUGGGUUGUAAACUGCUUUUAUACAGGAAUAAAGUUAGCCACGUGUGGUUAUUUGUAGGUACUGUAUGAAUAAGGACCGGCUAAUUCCGUGCCAGCCGCCGCAGUAA
rnacentral:rRNA from 1 species